rnacentral:tRNA from 1 species
UCCCUGGUGGCUCAGAUAGUAAAGCGUCCGCCUGCAAUGCGGGAGACCUGGGUUCAAUCCCUGGGUUGGGAA